rnacentral:lncRNA from 1 species
GUCGAUCUUACUCCGAUUCAGCUAGCUCUGAUACCAAAUGAUACUCCCCGGCUCGGGAAGGAGAGUCAAGUCGUAGAUGUGCCCGAUCGUGAAUUGGAGUAAUUUGAAAGCUUUACAAAAUAGGCUAGAAGAAAAGGAAUUAUUUAGGCUCAAAAGAGUUUUGUUGGUUUAGGAAAUGAAUUAGAAGACAAUGGAUGUAAUUUGGCUAAGGAUUCAAAAGCCGAACUAACACAAUAGUAGUGUGUUAACCCGUAACUUAUGAGAAUGCUUA